rnacentral:rRNA from 1 species
CAUGCUAGUUGCACGGGUUUAGACCCGUGGCGAAAAGCUCAGUAACACGUGGCCAAGCUACCCUGUGGACCAGAAUAACCUCGGGAAACUGAGGACAAUCCUGGAUAACGCUCCCCCACUGGAAUGUGGGGAGCCGGAAAUGCUCCGGCGCCACAGGAUGCGGCUGCGGCCGAUUAGGUUGACGGUGGGGUAACGGCCCACCGUGCCCAUAAUCGGUACGGGUUGUGAGAGCAAGAGCCCGGAGACGGAAUCUGAGACAAGAUUCCGGGCCCUACGGGGCGCAGCAGGCGCGAAACCUUUACACUGCACGCCAGUGCGAUAAGGGGACUCCGAGUGCGAGGGCAUAGAGCCCUCGCUUUUCUGUACCGUAAGGUGGUACAGGAAGAAGGGCUGGGCAAGACCGGUGCCAGCCGCCGCGGUAAUACCGGCAGCCCAAGUGAUGGCCGAUAUUAUUGGGCCUAAAGCGUCCGUAGCCGGCCGGACAAGUCCGUUGGGAAAUCCGCACGCUCAACGUGCGGGCGUCCAGCGGAAACUGUCCGGCUUGGGACCGGAAGACCCGAGGGGUACGUCCGGGGUAGGAGUGAAAUCCUGUAAUCCCGGACGGACCACCUGUGGCGAA